ACUCCCACGGGAGGCAGCAGUAGGGAAUCUUCCACAAUGGGCGCAAGCCUGAUGGAGCAACACCGCGUGAGUGAAGAAGGGUUUCGGCUCGUAAAGCUCUGUUGUUAAAGAAGAACACGUAUGAGAGUAACUGUUCAUACGUUGACGGUAUUUAACCAGAAAGUCACGGCUAACUACGUGCCAGCAGCCGCGGUAAUACGUAGGUGGCAAGCGUUAUCCGGAUUUAUUGGGCGUAAAGAGAGUGCAGGCGGUUUUCUAAGUCUGAUGUGAAAGCCUUCGGCUUAACCGGAGAAGUGCAUCGGAAACUGGAUAACUUGAGUGCAGAAGAGGGUAGUGGAACUCCAUGUGUAGCGGUGGAAUGCGUAGAUAUAUGGAAGAACACCAGUGGCGAAGGCGGCUACCUGGUCUGCAACUGACGCUAAGACUCGAAAGCAUGGGUAGCGAACAGGAUUAGAUACCCUGGUAGGAUAGCG
rnacentral:rRNA from 1 species